rnacentral:lncRNA from 1 species
GAGAAAACAGUUUCAUUUUAAAUUAUAUAUACCAAUAAACUGAGAGUAACAAACACAUGCACUCUCAAAUGUUCUAUAACAUUAUUACAUCAAAUGCAGAGUUCAGUUAAAGUUUGGAGAUCAGCAUUUUGUAAUAACAGCAGUUUUCAAUCAGUUAAGAAUAUCUAAGUUGCUCUUCUGCUGAAUUAAACAGGUACAGCAUAUGUCGGCAAAUACAACAAAUGUCUGAAAAUCAUGCUUUGGUAAAAGUAUUGGAGGACUUAACUGUGUUUAUCAAAUUGAAGGAAGACUAUGUGAGAAUGAAACAGACUUUGGAGUAGGCAGAAGUACGGCAGCUUCCAAUCUUAGCUGCAGAGCCCUAUGACCCUGGCUAAGCAGCUCUAAAGCUGGCAAAGGACAAGCCUUCAACAUGAAAGGGUGCAGGGCUCCCACUAGAAGAGGAAAGAAAGCAUGGAUUCUUCUCCAGAAAUGCUCCUUUAAUAAUUAACUUUGGAGACAGAGUUGAAGCCACAAGCAAAUGGCAAUGAAGCCAAUGGUCCAAGACACCAGAAAAAUUUUCGGUGGCAAAACACCAAGUACAGGCAAGGAAUUCAAAGU